rnacentral:lncRNA from 1 species
UUGAGCUGAAAGUUUGUAUAUGGCAGGCACUAAUGGGAUUCGGAAGCGAGAGAAGAACUAAUGAAAUGGCGCAAGUCUGAGUUCAGUGUAUAUACUAUGUGGUUGCUGCAUAACUGGUUUUAUGUCUAUAGAUAUUUUUAUCUUGAGUAUGUUCAUAACUUCAUAUGUAAAUUUCUUACAGGUUCGUGUACUGUAGAACACAGAUGUUUGACUAUUUUGAAGGAAAUCAUUCAGUAAAACACUUACUAUUUGAG